rnacentral:rRNA from 1 species
AUGCUAAUCGGCGUGUCCGACGGGAUCAAAGACCUGAGCAUCAAGCUUGGGGACCUCAAGAAUUUCCUUGCUGAUGCUGAUAGGAGGAACAUCACCGAUGAGAGUGUGCGUGGGUGGGUGGGGGAACUGAAGCGUGCCAUGUACCUGGCCACUGACAUCGUCGACCUAUGUCAGCUCAAGGCCAUGGAGCAAGGUCAAACCAAGGACAGGGGGUGCCUUAACCCUCUGCUCGUUUGCAUGCGGAAUCCCCUGCACGCCCAUGACAUCGGCACCCGCAUCAAGAUGCUCAACCAAAAUUUGGAUGAUAUUUGCAAGAGGGGCAGCAGUUUCAAUUUCAUCAAGCUAGAAGCCUACCAAGACCGAAAGAUGACUGGAUAUCAUGCAACUGGUCGCAAAACUGAUUCACUGAUGGAGCGGUCAGGUGCAGUUGGUGAUAAGAUUGAGGAGGACACGAGGGCACUUGUGGAGGUGCUUACAAGGGAAGCUGCUAGUGACAAGAGAGAUCGCUUCAUGGUGGUGGCCAUUGUUGGUGCCGGUGGGAUUGGGAAGACCACCCUCAGCAAGAAGGUCUUCAAUGAUGACAGUAUCAAAGGCAAGUUCACUAAGAAUAUAUGGCUUAGCAUCACCCAAGAUUUCAAUGAUAUUGAGCUAUUGAAUAAGGCUAUCAUCGCUGUUGGUGGAGACCUACCUGGAGGUGGAGGAGCCCGAGACAGAGACCUACUUGUCGGUGCUCUCAAUAACGCCAUCAGGGACAAGAAGUUCUUUCUUGUACUAGAUGACAUGUGGGGUGUCGAUGCAUGGGACAAAUUACUGAAGGCUCCCUUUAGCUACGGCGGCCCCGGCAGCAGAGUCCUUAUCACCACAAGACAUGACACGGUUGCCCUAUGCAUGAAAGUUGUGCACUAUCACCAUGUUGACAAAUUAGGUGCUAAAGAUGCAUGGUCAUUGCUCAAGAAGCAGGUAGUCACAACAGAAAAAGGUGAACCCGAGAUUGAGAUUCUAAAGGAUAUUGGCUUGCAGAUUAUAGAAAAGUGUGAUGGUCUGCCACUUGCUGUAAAGGUGGUGGGAGGGCUAUUAUGCCAGAGGGAGAAAAAUCAACGUGCUUGGCAAAAGGUUCUAAACGACGAUUUAUGGAGUGGUCAGACGAUGUUAACUUUAUCCAAUCAGAGGGUGAAGAUGGACUGCCUCGGUUAG